UAGCUGAGAGGGCGCACGGGUGAUUAAAACAUCGGAACGUGCCUAGUAGGGGGGGAUAACUACUCGAAAGAGUGGCUAAUACCGCAUGAGAUCUACGGAUGAAAGCAGGGGAUCGCAAGACCUUGUGCUACUAGAGCGGCCGAUGGCAGAUUAGGUAGUUGGUGGGAUAAAAGCUUACCAAGCCGACGAUCUGUAGCUGGUCUGAGAGGACGAUCAGCCACACUGGGACUGAGACACGGCCCAGACUCCUACGGGAGGCAGCAGUGGGGAAUUUUGGACAAUGGGCGAAAGCCUGAUCCAGCAAUGCCGCGUGCAGGAUGAAGGCCUUCGGGUUGUAAACUGCUUUUGUACGGAACGAAAAGCCCUGGGUUAAUACCCUGGGGUCAUGACGGUACCGUAAGAAUAAGCACCGGCUAACUACGUGCCAGCAGCCGCGGUAAUACGUAGGGUGCAAGCGUUAAUCGGAAUUACUGGGCGUAAAGCGUGCGCAGGCGGUUUUGUAAGACAGAGGUGAAAUCCCCGGGCUCAACCUGGGAACUGCCUUUGUGACUGCAAGGCUAGAGUACGGCAGAGGGGGAUGGAAUUCCGCGUGUAGCAGUG
rnacentral:rRNA from 1 species